rnacentral:rRNA from 1 species
UCGGGAAUUUUGGGCAAUGGGCGAAAGCCUGACCCAGCAACGCCGCGUGAAGGAUGAAAUCCCUCGGGAUGUAAACUUCGCAAGAACGGGAAGAAUAAGUAAGAGUUAAUAUCUUUUACGAUGACGGUACCGUUUGUAAGCUCCGGCUAACUCCGUGCCAGCAGCCGCGGUAAUACGGGGGGAGCAAGCGUUGUUCGGAAUUACUGGGCGUAAAGGGCGCGUAGGCGGCCUACUAAGUCAGACGUGAAAUCCCCCGGCUUAACCUGGGAACUGCGUCUGAUACUGGAAGGCUUGAGUAUGGGAGAGGGAUGUAGAAUUCCAGGUGUAGCGGUGAAAUGCGUAGAUAUCUGGAGGAAUACCGGUGGCGAAGGCGGCAUCCUGGACCAUUACUGACGCUGAGGCGCGAAAGCUAGGGGAGCAAA